CCUAGUUGAUCCUGCCAGUAGUCAUAUGCUUGUCUCAAAGAUUAAGCCAUGCAUGUCUAAGUAUGAACUAAUUCAGACUGUGAAACUUUGGAUGGCUCAUUAAAUCAGUUAUAUUUUUUUUAUGGUACCAUACUACUCGGAUAACCGUACUAAUUUAGAGCUAAUAGGUGCACCAAGUCCCAACUCUUUGGAAGGGAUGAAUUUUUUAGAUAAAAGGCCAGCGCGGGCUUGCCCGCUUCUUUGGUGAAUCAUGAUAACUCGACGGAUCACACAACCCUUGUGCUGGUGAUGCUUCAUUCAAAGUUCUUCCCUAUUAACUUUCAAUGGUAGGAUAGAGGCCUACCAUGGUGGUGAAGGGUGAUGAAGAAUUAGGGUAUGAUUCCAGAGAGGGAGCCUGAGAAACAGCUACCACAUCCAAGGAAGGCAGCAGGUGUGAAAAUUACCCAAUCCUAACAUGGGGAAGUAGUGACAAUAAAUAACAAUACUGGGCUCAUCGAGUCUGGUAAUUGGAAUGAGUACAAUCUAAAUCCCUUAAUGAGGAUUCGUUGGAGGGCAAGUCUGGUGCCAGGAGUCACGGUAAUUUCCACUCCAAUAGUGUAUAUUUAAGUUGUUGUAGUUAAAAAGCUCGUAGUUGGAUCUUGGUUCGUAAAGGUCGAUCCGCCGACUCAGUUUGCACUUGCCCUUCCAUCCUUUUUGUUGGUGGUGUGCUCCUAGCCUUAAUUGGCUGGAUCGCGGCUCUGGCGCUAUUACUUUGAAAAAAUUAGAGUGCUCAAAGCGAGCUUAUGCUCUGAAUACAUUAGCAUGGAAUAACAUGAUAGGAGUCUGGUCCUAUUGUGUUGACCUUUGGGACCAAAGUAAUGAUUAAUAGGGACUGUCAAGGGCAUUCGUACUUCAUUGUCAGAGGUGAAAUUCUUGGAUUUAUGAAAGAUGGACCACUGCGAAAGCAUUUGCCAAGGAUGUUUUCAUUAAUCAAGAAUGAAAUUUGGGGGCUCGAAGACGAUCAUAUACCAUCGUAGUCUCAACCAUAAAUGAUGCUGACCAGGGAUCGGUGGAUGUUUCUCUAAGGACUCCGCCAGUACCUUAUGAGAAAUCAGAGUGUUUGGGUUCUGGGGGGAGUAUGGUCGCAAGGUUGAAACUUAAAGGAAUUGAUGGAAGGGCACCACCAAGAGUGGAUCUUACAGCUUAAUUUGACUCAACACGGGGAAACUUACCAGGUCCAGACAUAGUAAGGAUUGGCAGAUUGACAGCUCUUUCUUGAUUCUAUGGGUGGUGGUGCAUGGCCGUUGUUAGUUGGUGGAGCGAUUUGUCUGGUUAAUUCCGAUAAGGAAUGAGACCUCAACUUGCUAACUAGCUACGUAGAGGUUCCCCUUCAUGGCCAACUUCUUAAAGGGACUAUGGAUGUUUAGGCCAUGGAAGUUUGAGGCAAUAACAGGUCUGUGAUGCCCUUAGAUGUUCUAGGACGCAUGUGCGUUACACUGAUGCAGCCAACGAGUUUUUCUUCCUGGUUCGAGAGGAUCGAGAAAUAUUCUCAAAUUGCAUUGUGAUGGGUAUAGACCAUUGCAAUUAUUGGUAUUCAAUGAGGAAUUCCUAGUAAGCGUGUGUCAUCAACUCGUGUUGACUACGUCCCUACCCUUUGUACACACCGCCCAUCGCUCCUAUCGAUUGAACGAUCCGGUGAAGUGUUUGGAUUGCGUCGACGAUGGUGGUUUCCCACCAUUGACGUCGUGAGAAGUUCAUUGAACCUUAUCAUUUAGAGGAAGGAGAAGUCGUAAAAAGGUUACCGUAGGUGAACCUGCGGUAG
rnacentral:rRNA from 1 species